UAGGGAAUAUUGGACAAUGGGCGCAAGCCUGAUCCAGCCAUGCCGCGUGAGUGAAGAAGGCCCUCGGGUUGUAAAGCUCUUUUGUCCGGAAAGAAAAGCGCCGGGUUAAUACCCUGGUGUCCUGACGGUACCGGAAGAAUAAGCACCGGCUAACUUCGUGCCAGCAGCCGCGGUAAUACGAAGGGUGCAAGCGUUACUCGGAAUUACUGGGCGUAAAGCGUGCGUAGGUGGUUUGUUAAGUCUGAUGUGAAAGCCCUGGGCUCAACCUGGGAAUUGCAUUGGAUACUGGCAGGCUAGAGUGCGGUAGAGGGUAGUGGAAUUCCCGGUGUAGCAGUGAAAUGCGUAGAGAUCGGGAGGAACAUCUGUGGCGAAGGCGACUACCUGGACCAGCACUGACACUGAGGCACGAAAGCGUGGGGAGCAAACA
rnacentral:rRNA from 1 species